rnacentral:rRNA from 1 species
GCCUGUUUAUCAAAAACAUUGCUUUAUUUUGUAUAAAGUAGGACCUGCCCACUGUAAAUUAUAAAGGGCUGCAGUAUUUUGACUGUGCGAAGGUAGCAUAAUAGCUUGCCUUUUAAGAGGGGGCUGGAAUGAACGGUUUCACAAAGUGAAAGCUGUCUUUGGAAUUAAAUUGAACUUGACUUUGUUGUAAAAAUGCAGCAAUUUAAGUAAGGGACGAUAAGACCCUAUAAAUUUUAGAGGGUAAAGAUCUAUUAAGAAAUUAAUAAUUCUAACUCUCUUUGUUGGGGCAACAUAAAUAAAUAACUAUUUUAAUUUUAACACUUUAAAUGAAUUUUAGAGCCAAAAAUUUGCAAAAGAAACAAAUACUUUAGGGAUAACAGCGUAAUUGUCCCGGAGAGCUCGCAUCAAUGGGACAGUUUGCGACCUCGAUGUUGAAUUAAAGAACCUCCUUGGGGCAGCUCUUAAGAGAGGUGGCAUGUUCGGCCAUAAAACCUUUACGUGAUCUGAGUUCAGACC